UACGUAGGGGGCUAGCGUUGUCCGGAUUUAUUGGGCGUAAAGCGCGUGUAGGCGGCCAGGUAGGUCGGUUGUGAAAAUUGGAGGCUCAACCUCCAGACGUCGAUCGAAACCAUCUGGCUAGAGUCCGGAAGAGGAGAAUGGAAUUCCCGGUGUAGCGGUGAAAUGCGCAGAUAUCGGGAAGAACACCCGUGGCGAAGGCGGUUCUCUGGGACGGUACUGACGCUGAGACGCGAAAGCGUGGGGAGCGAACAGG
rnacentral:rRNA from 1 species